UACGGGGGGAGCAAGCGUUGUUCGGAUUUACUGGGCGUAAAGGGCGCGUAGGCGGCCACCGCAAGUCGACUGUGAAAUCUCCGGGCUUAACCCGGAAAGGUCAGCCGAUACUGCGGGGCUAGAGUGCAGAAGGGGCAACUGGGAAUUCUCGGUGUAGCGGUGAAAUGCGUAGAUAUCGAGAGGAACACCUGCGGCGAAGGCGGGUUGCUGGGCUGACACUGACGCUGAUGCGCGAAAGCUAGGGGAGCGAACAGG
rnacentral:rRNA from 1 species